CCAGACUCCUACGGGAGGCAGCAGUGGGGAAUAUUGCACAAUGGGGGAAACCCUGAUGCAGCGACGCCGCGUGAGUGAAGAAGUAAUUCGUUAUGUAAAGCUCUAUCAGCAGGGAAGAAAAUGACGGUACCUGAGUAAGAAGCCCCGGCUAACUACGUGCCAGCAGCCGCGGUAAUACGUAGGGGGCAAGCGUUAUCCGGAUUUACUGGGUGUAAAGGGAGCGUAGACGGCUGUGCAAGCCAGAUGUGAAAGCCCGGGGCUCAACCCCGGGACUGCAUUUGGAACUGCGUGGCUUGAGUGUCGGAGAGGCAGGCGGAAUUCCUAGUGUAGCGGUGAAAUGCGUAGAUAUCAGGAGGAACACCGGCGGCGAAGGCGGCUUACUGGACGGCAACUGACGUUGAGGCCCGAAAGCGUGGGGAGCGAACAGGAUUAGAUACCCGUGUAUG
rnacentral:rRNA from 1 species